rnacentral:rRNA from 1 species
AACGAACGCUGGCGGCAGGCUUAACACAUGCAAGUCGAACGCCCCGCAAGGGGAGUGGCAGACGGGUGAGUAACGCGUGGGAACAUACCCUUUUCUACGGAAUAGCUCUGGGAAACUGGAAUUAAUACCGUAUACGCCCUACGGGGGAAAGAUUUAUCGGGGAAGGAUUGGCCCGCGUUGGAUUAGCUAGUUGGUGGGGUAAAGGCCUACCAAGGCGACGAUCCAUAGCUGGUCUGAGAGGAUGAUCAGCCACAUUGGGACUGAGACACGGCCCCGACUCCUACGGGAGGCAGCAGUAAGGAAUCUUCCGCAAUGGGCGAAAGCCUGACGGAGCGACGCCGCGUGUGGGAUGAAGUCUCUCGGGAUGUAAACCACUGUCGGAGGGGAAGAGAACGGACGGUACCCUCCAAGAAAGCCCCGGCUAACUACGUGCCAGCCGCCGCGGUAAAAC